rnacentral:lncRNA from 1 species
CUUCCUUGAUGGGAACUGAUCUUUGAUGGGGAUAAAUGUGUCCCCAGCUACUGUGGAGCAGGGACAGCAUUCUGUUUUGUAAGCCAGCCGUUCAGUUUCAAUCACCUCCACCUGAGCCGGUCACUCAGCAGAGGGUUCCGAGUGCCCUCUGUGUGUCAGGUGGUUGGCAUGUGCCCUCCCUCAGGAGCUCGUGAUGGAGGUGGGAGUUCACAUCUCCAGAUGGAGAAUCGGGCUCAUCCCAUGUGGCUUGCCCUGUGUCCUCAGCUAGUCGAGAGCCAAGUUGGGACUGGAACACUCUGUCCUUUCCACUGUGACAGGCCCUGGAUCCCACCCAGGGGCUGCAAAGAUAAAUUCAGACGUGUUCAAUUCUGUGUCCAAGAGGAGAAGGCAACAGCUUCACGUUCACCAAAGAGAAAUCCAAAGAUGUCACGACACCGGGAACCCACACUGAGUUCAAUUCCCAGACCUCACUGGUGAGGGGAUGAAGUCCCCAGGCCCCUGACCUUCCCAGGUCGGCAGCUGGCAGGCCAUGAGUCACCCAGAUCUCCCAGUUCCCAGGUUGGAGAUUUUCAUGCUGCUGCAUGGCCAAGGGCAGAAUGGAGACUGUGGCCAGGAACUGGAGUGGAGAAUUAGGAGCAAGUCUUCUCCAGGUCACAGGUCAACUGCCUCCAGUACUCAGAGUAAAGAAUAAUGGAUCUCUGGAAACUGAGGAGGGACCAUGCCAUCACAGACCUUUCAACAGCAUGACACAGCGUUCCUUUCCUGUGGCCUCUUGCAGACUCAAGGACAAAUUUCAGGACAGUCAUGGUGAAGACUAGUAUUUAG